GCAGUCGUGGCCGAGUGGUUAAGGCAAUGGACUAGAAAUCCAUUGGGGUCUCCCCGCACAGGUUCGAAUCCUGUCGACAGCG
rnacentral:tRNA from 2 species